UGCAGCCUUGUCAAAUUCAGUGUGUCCUUCUCAGUGGACCUCACUGGCCCAAGUGGCUGCUACAGAGAAUGUAGUUCAUGGGCCCCACCUCCCUCUGCCAUGGGUACUGGGGAUAAUAUGUACUACAGACACAU